rnacentral:rRNA from 1 species
AGAACGAACGCUGGCGGCGGGCCUCAUACAUGCAAGUCGAGCGCGAAAGUCCGCAAGGAUGAGUAAAGCGGCGCACGGGUGAGUAACACGUGGAUAAUCUACCCUUUGGAUUGGAAUAACCUGUCGAAAGACGGGCUAAUGCCGAGUAAGCUUCCUUGAACGUAAAGUUCGAGCAAGGAAAGAUGGCGCAAGCUAUCGCCGAUGGAUGAGUCUGCGUCCCAUUAGUUAGUUGGUGGGGUAAUGGCUUACCAAGACAAUGAUGGGUACCUGGUUUGAGAGAAUGACCAGGCACACUGGAACUGAAACACGGUCCAGACUCCUACGGGAGCAGCAGUAGGGAAUAUUGCGCAAUGGACGAAAGUCUGACGCAGCCACGCCGCGUGAGUGAGGAGGCCGUU